rnacentral:piRNA from 1 species
UCUGGCCAUUUGCGAAAAAUU